UACAGAGGGUGCAAGCGUUAAUCGGAAUUACUGGGCGUAAAGCGUGCGUAGACGGUUAUGUAAGUCAGAUGUGAAAGCCCCGGGCUCAACCUGGGAAUUGCAUUUGAGACUGCAUAGCUAGGGUGCGGAAGAGGGAAGCGGAAUUUCCGGUGUAGCGGUGAAAUGCGUAGAGAUCAAGAGGAACACUCGUGGCGAAAGCGAGCUACUGGACAAUUCCUGACGCUGAGGCUCGAAGGCUAGGGUAGCGAAAGGG
rnacentral:rRNA from 1 species